UUUCCCCUACGGGGGGCAGCAGUGGGGAAUAUUGCACAAUGGGGGAAACCCUGAUGCAGCAACGCCGCGUGAGUGAAGAAGUAAUUCGGUAUGUAAAGCUCUAUCAGCAGGGAAGAAGAAAGACGGUACCUGACUAAGAAGCCCCGGCUAACUACGUGCCAGCAGCCGCGGUAAUACGUAGGGGGCAAGCGUUAUCCGGAUUUACUGGAUGUAAAGGGAGCGUAGACGGCUGUGCAAGUCUGAUGUGAAAUCCCGUGGCUCAACCACGGAACUGCUUUGGAAACUGUAUAGCU
rnacentral:rRNA from 1 species